rnacentral:rRNA from 1 species
GAUAGUUAUUAAGAGCAUAUACCGAAGAAGGUGGCAGUAAAAAUAUCAGAGUGCGGGCAAUCAGCAGGAAAGGAGUGAAUCUCAUGCUAAAAGUAAAAGAGAUCCCUCCAGAAAUAGGAUAUUAUCUGGCAGGAUUUGCUGAUGGAGAAGGUAGUUUUAAUGUAGUGUUUCGUCCAAGAAAUGAUUAUUCUAUGCCUUGGAAAAUUUCAUUGUGUUUUAAUAUUUCACAACGUGAUCCAGUAAUUUUAGCUCUAUUUAAAAGGUAUUUAAAAUGUGGUACAAUGAGAAGAAGAAAAGAUGGAGUAUGGUAUUAUGAAGUUAAUAAUCUUCGCGCAAUAAAAGAAAAUGUUAUUCCUUUUUUUAAACGCUUUAAUUUUUUAUCUGCAAGAAUGAAAAGAAAUUUUUCAAAAUUCAUACAGAUAAGUGAAUUAAUGGAAGAAGGAAAGCAUUUAACACGUGAAGGCAUAGAAGAAAUAUUAAAAAUAAGAAAAAAAAUGAAUAAUGGAGGGAAAAGAAAAUACAGUGAUGAAGAAAUACGUAUGAGGUUCACUAAUCCUCAGAGACCAUAUGCUAAGCCUUCUGAAGAUAUUGAAAAUUCAGAAGGAUGAGAUGGUCCGAACUGCAUGGCGACAUGCAGAGGCAGGCAGAAAUGACCUGCCCGCUCUACACAAUAAAAGUGUAGAGAGGUAACAGAGUGAACGGUUAUUUCGUGCUACCAGAGUGGCCGUUAUAAAAUCCGGCUAUAUGCUGGGAAGACCCGUGUAUCCCAGACUACCGAGGAGGUGAAAAAGUUUUGGGUGGGGUCAAUCAGCAGGAAAGGCUAUCUAUAACCGAAGCUAAAAAAUGGUUUCUUGCAGGUUUUAUAGAAGGAGAAGGGAGUUUAGUAGUAUCUAUUAAAGAACAUCCAAGUGCUAAAUUUGGUUAUUAUGUAGAUCCCGAAUUUUUUAUAUAUCAACACAAAAACGGAAAGUCUAUUCUUGAAUUAGCUAAAAAAAUAUUCCAAACAGGAAAAAUCAGACCUAAAAGUGAUAACAAAGAUGUGCUAGUUUUUUCAAUAACAAAUAGAAGAAGUAUAAAAGAAAAAGUAAUACCUUUUUUAAAAAAAUAUAUGGUUUUUUCAGCAAAGAAAAAAAUAAUAGAUAUUUUUGAAGAAAUAAUAGAGGCUAUGGAAGUUCGCAAGGAACAUCAGACAAGAGAUGGUUUGAUUAGCAUAGUCAGGAAGGCUUAUGCGAUGAGUGAAAAUUCUAAAGGAAAAGAAAGAAAAAGGGAGUUAAAAGAGGUUAUAGAUAGAAUCCUCAGAGACCAUAUGCCGGACAUCUCUUAAGAAUAAAAUUAGGGGAUGAAGAUAUGGUCCGAUCUCUGUGGCGACACAGAGCUAACGAUAAUGCCUAAGGUAGCGAAGUUCCUUGCCACGUAAGUUGUGGCCUGCAUGAAAGGCGUAACGACUGGGACUCUGUCUCGGGGAGGGGCACGGUGAAAUUGCAAACCCUGUGAAGAUGCAGGGUAGCAGCAGCAAGACGGAAAGACCCUGUGAAGCUUUACUGCAGCUUGGUGCUGAAUUCUUGACUGCUUUGUACAGGAUAGGUGGGAGGCUGGGAUGUGUCGGCGCCAGCUGGCACGGAGCCGCCCUUGGGAUACCACCCCUAGCAGUUGGGAAUUCUAACGCUAUAAGCGGACAACGCCAGGUGGGCAGUUUCACUGGGGCAGUGGCCUCCUAAAGGGUAAUGGAGGCGUCCAAAGCUCACCUCAGCCCGGUCGGAAAUCGGGUGUUGAGUGCAAAGGCAUAAGGUGGGUUUACUGUGAGAGGGACACCUCGAGCAGUUGCGAAAGCAGGGCUUAGUGAUCCGGCGGAUCCGUAUGGAAGGGCCGUCGCUCAGCGGAUAAAAGUUACUCCGGGGAUAACAGGCUUGUGGCGCCCAAGAGUUCAUAUCGACGGCGCCGUUCGGCACCUCGAUGUCGGCUCAAAAUUGGGCCCCUGAGGGGGUAACCUCUCAGGAUAAAAUCCGGCUUAUAACGGGGGAGCCCUAACGACCAAGAAUUUUAAAUAUAAAAAUCUUGGGUUCGAGGGUAAUCCCGUGGGAAGUCGAGGAGUGAAAAAUGCUGCCAGAACCUAUUCAUUCAAUAAUUAUAGGAAGUUUAUUAGGAGAUGCAUGUUUAGAACUUAAUGGAAGGUAUUAUAGAAUUCGUUUUGAUCAUAGUUGGAAAGAAAAAGAGUAUAUCUGGUGGAAAUACAAACUUCUUUAUCCUAUAGCAGCUUCAUCACCAAAGUUAAUUAAAGUGUUAGAUAAUAGAACACAAAAAAUGUAUUUACACUUUAGAUU